rnacentral:rRNA from 1 species
CCUACGGGAGGCAGCAGUGGGGAAUCUUGCGCAAUGGGCGAAAGCCUGACGCAGCAACGCCGCGUGCGGGAAGAAGGCCUUCGGGUUGUAAACCGCUUUCAGCAGGAACGAAAAUGACGGUACCUGCAGAAGAAGGAGCGGCCAACUACGUGCCAGCAGCCGCGGUGACACGUAGGCUCCAAGCGUUGUCCGGAUUUAUUGGGCGUAAAGAGCUCGUAGGCGGUUCAGUAAGUCGGGUGUGAAAACUCUGGGCUCAACCCAGAGCCUGCAUUCGAAACUGCUGUGACUAGAGUUUGGUAGGGGAGCGGGGAAUUCCUAGUGUAGCGGUGAAAUGCGCAGAUAUUAGGAGGAACACCGGUGGCGAAAGCGCCGCUCUGGGCCAAUACUGACGCUGAGGAGCGAAAGCGUGGGUAGCAAACAGGAUUAGAUACCCUGGUAGUCCACGCCGUAAACGAUGGGCACUAGGUGUGGGUUUCAACUAACGAAAUCCGUGCCGUCGCUAACGCAUUAAGUGCCCCGCCUGGGGAGGUACGGUCGCGAGACGUAAACGUACGAAGAAGUAGACGGUCGUGUACGUUAGCGACGACGACGACGAGGGAGGAGG